AGGCGAAGGCAGGAGGACCAGGAGCUG
rnacentral:piRNA from 1 species